CGAGUUUGAUCAUGGCUCAGAUUGAACGCUGGCGGCAGGCCUAACACAUGCAAGUCGAGCGGAUGACGGGAGCUUGCUCCUUGAUUCAGCGGCGGACGGGUGAGUAAUGCCUAGGAAUCUGCCUGGUAGUGGGGGACAACGUUCCGAAAGGAACGCUAAUACCGCAUACGUCCUACGGGAGAAAGCAGGGGACCUUCGGGCCUUGCGCUAUCAGAUGAGCCUAGGUCGGAUUAGCUAGUUGGUGGGGUAAUGGCUCACCAAGGCGACGAUCCGUAACUGGUCUGAGAGGAUGAUCAGUCACACUGGAACUGAGACACGGUCCAGACUCCUACGGGAGGCGGCAGUGGGGAAUAUUGGACAAUGGGCGAAAGCCUGAUCCAGCCAUGCCGCGUGUGUGAAGAAGGUCUUCGGAUUGUAAAGCACUUUAAGUUGGGAGGAAGGGCAGUAAGUUAAUACCUUGCUGUUUGACGUUACCGACAGAAUAAGCACGGCUAACUCUGUGCCAGCAG
rnacentral:rRNA from 1 species